UGCCAGCAGCCGCGGUAACACGUAAGGAGCGAGCGUUGUUCGGAAUUAUUGGGCGUAAAGGGCAUGUAGGCGGUUUUGUAAGUCUGAUGUGAAAGCCCGGGGCUCAACCCCGGAAGUGCAUUGGAAACUGGCGAACUUGAGUACGGGAGAGGAAAGUGGAAUUCCGAGUGUAGGGGUGAAAUCCGUAGAUAUUCGGAGGAACACCAGUGGCGAAGGCGGCUUUCUGGACCGAUACUGACGCUGAGGUGCGAAAGCGUGGGGAGCAAACAGGAUUAGAUA
rnacentral:rRNA from 1 species